CCUACGGGAGACAGCAGUGGGGAAUAUUGGGCAAUGGGCGCAAGCCUGACCCAGCAACGCCGCGUGAAGGAAGAAGGCUUUCGGGUUGUAAACUUCUUUUCUCAGGGACGAAGAAAGUGACGGUACCUGAGGAAUAAGCCACGGCUAACUACGUGCCAGCAGCCGCGGUAAUACGUAGGUGGCAAGCGUUAUCCGGAUUUACUGGGUGUAAAGGGCGUGUAGGCGGGAAAGCAAGUUAGAUGUGAAAACCACGGGCUCAACCUGUGGCCGGCAUGUGAAACUGUUUUUCUUGUGUUCAGGAGCGGUAGACGGAAUUUCUGGUGUAGCGGUGAAAUGCGUAGAUAUUAGGAGGAACACCAGGGGAGAAGGCGGUUUACUGGACACCAAGUGACGCUGAGGCGCGAAAGCGAGGGGAGAAAACGGGAUUAGAUACCCUGGUAGUC
rnacentral:rRNA from 1 species